rnacentral:rRNA from 1 species
AGAGUUUGAUCAUGGCUCAGGAUGAAUGCUAGCGGCAGGCUUAACACAUGCAAGUCGAGGGGCAGCAAGGUAGCAAUACUGUUGGCGACCGGCAAACGGGUGCGGAACACGUACGCAAUUUACCCUUGUCUGGGGGGAUAGCCCGGAGAAAUCCGGAUUAAUACCCCAUAAGAUAUUAGAGUGGCAUCACUCAGAUAUUAAAGUUCAGACGGACAAGGAUGAGCGUGCGUCCCAUUAGCUAGUUGGUAGGGUAACGGCCUACCAAGGCGACGAUGGGUAGCUGGUGUGAGAGCACGACCAGCCACACGGGCACUGAGACACGGGCCCGACUCCUACGGGAGGCAGCAGUGAGGAAUAUUGGUCAAUGGACGCAAGUCUGAACCAGCCAUGCCGCGUGAAGGAUGAAGGCCUUCUGGGUUGUAAACUUCUUUUAUUGGGGAAGAAAAUUACGGUUUCUACUGUAACCGACGGUACCCAAGGAAUCAGCACCGGCUAACUCCGUGCCAGCAGCCGCGGUAAUACGGAGGGUGCAAGCGUUAUCCGGAUUCACUGGGUUUAAAGGGUGUGUAGGCGGGUAUUUAAGUCAGUGGUGAAAUCUCUGGGCUCAACUCAGAAACUGCCAUUGAUACUAUUUAUCUUGAAUAUCGUUGAGGUUGGCGGAAUAUAUCAUGUAGCGGUGAAAUGCAUAGAUAUGAUAUAGAACACCGAUUCCGAAGGCAGCUAACUAAGCGAUGAUUGACGCUGAGGCACGAAAGCGUGGGGAUCAAACAGGAUUAGAUACCCUAGUAGUCC